UGCAGUCGAACGGUAACAGAACUAGCUUGCUAGUUGCUGACGAGUGGCGGACGGGUGAGUAAUACUUAGGGAUCUGCCUCUGUGUGGGGGAUAACUAUUGGAAACGAUAGCUAAUACCGCAUAACGUCUACGGACCAAAGAGGGCUUCGGCUCUCGCGCAGAGAGGAACCUAAGCGAGAUUAGCUUGUUGGUGAGGUAAAGGCUCACCAAGGCGACGAUCUCUAGCUGUUCUGAGAGGAAGAUCAGCCACACUGGAACUGAGACACGGUCCAGACUCCUACGGGAGGCAGCAGUGGGGAAUAUUGCACAAUGGGGGAAACCCUGAUGCAGCCAUGCCGCGUGUGUGAAGAAGGCCUUCGGGUUGUAAAGCACUUUCAGUUGUGAGGAAAGGUUAGUAGUUAAUACCUGCUAGCUGUGACGUUAACAACAGAAGAAGCACCGGCUAACUCCGUGCCAGCAGCCGCGGUAAUACGGAGGGUGCGAGCGUUAAUCGGAAUUACUGGGCGUAAAGCGCACGCAGGCGGUCUGUUAAGCUAGAUGUGAAAGCCCCGCGCUCAACGUGGGAGGGUCAUUUAGAACUGGCAGACUAGAGUCUUGGAGAGGGGAGUG
rnacentral:rRNA from 1 species